CCACUGAGUGAUGAUGAAAUUGUCACCUAUGUGCUUGACGGACUUGACAAAGAAUACGACCGUCUGGUGACCUCCCUCACCACGUGUGUGGAACAGGUAACUCUGAGUGAUCUAUAAGCUCAUCUAAUGAGUUUCGAGA